rnacentral:rRNA from 1 species
UACGUAGGGUGCAAGCGUUAAUCGGAAUUACUGGGCGUAAAGCGUGCGCAGGCGGCUAUGUAAGUAUGACGUGAAAUCUCCGGGCUCAACCUGGGAAUUGCGUUGGAGACUGCAAGGCUAGAAUCUGGCAGAGGGGGGUAGAAUUCCACGUGUAGCAGUGAGAUGCGUAGAGAUGUGGAGGAACACCGAUGGCGAGGGCAGCCCCCUGGGUCAAGAUUGACGCUCAUGCACGAAAGCGUGGGGAGCAAACAGG